rnacentral:tRNA from 1 species
CGGGGUGUAGCUCAGCUGGUAGAGCGCUGCGUUCGGGACGCAGAGGCCGUGAGUUCGAGCCUCGCCACUCCGACCA